rnacentral:rRNA from 1 species
GACGAACGCUGGCGGCGUGCUUAACACAUGCAAGUCGAACGGUGAAAGCGGAGCUUGCUCCGCUGGAUCAGUGGCGAACGGGUGAGUAACACGUGGGCAACCUGCCCUUCACUUCGGGAUAACUCCGGGAAACCGGGGCUAAUACCGGAUAUGACCUCUGCGGGCAUCCGCGGAGGUGGAAAGUUUUUCAGUCAAGGAUGGACUCGCGGCCUAUCAGCUAGUUGGUGAGGUAACGGCUCACCAAGGCGACGACGGGUAGCCGGCCUGAGAGGGUGACCGGCCACACUGGGACUGAGACACGGCCCAGACUCCUACGGGAGGCAGCAGUGGGGAAUAUUGCACAAUGGGCGCAAGCCUGAUGCAGCAACGCCGCGUGAGGGAUGACGGCCUUCGGGUUGCAAACCUCUUUUAGUAGGGAAGAAGCGAAAGUGACGGUACCUGCAGAAAAAGCACCGGCUAACUACGUGCCAGCCGCCGCCGUAA